rnacentral:miRNA from 1 species
ACAUUUUCGUCCAAUUACCACUUCUUUUUGCCACCUGAACACAGUCAGCAGUCAGCAUAAAAAGUGAUAAUCGGAAGAUAAUGUCU